rnacentral:rRNA from 1 species
AGCAGUAGCCACGGUAAUACGUAGGUGGCGAGCGUUGUCCGGAAUCAUUGGGCGUAAAGCGAGCGCAGGCGGUUAGAUAAGUCUGAAGUUAAAGGCUGUGGCUUAACCAUAGUACGCUUUGGAAACUGUUUAACUUGAGUGCAAGAGGGGAGAGUGGAAUUCCAUGUGUAGCGGUGAAAUGCGUAGAUAUAUGGAGGAACACCGGUGGCGAAAGCGGCUCUCUGGCUUGUAACUGACGCUGAGGCUCGAAAGCGUGGGACGCAAACAGGAUUAGAUACCCGAGUAGUCCCUGUCUCUUAUACA